ACACGGACCAAGGAGUUUAUCGUGUGCGCAAGUCAUUGGGUGUUGAAAACUCAAAGGCGCAAUGAAAGUAAAGAAUCCGCAAGGAUACGACGUGUGAUCUGAGCAAUCACGAUUGCCUGGAGCAACAUGGCCCCAUUCUGGUCGCUUGCGACGGGGUGGAGGAAGAGCGUACGCGGUGAGACCCGAAAGAUGGUGAACUAUUCCUGAGCAGGAUGAAGCCAGAGGAAACUCUGGUGGAAGUCCGAAGCGAUUCUGACGUGCAAAUCGAUCGUCUGACUUGGGUAUAGGGGCGAAAGACUAAUCGAACCAUCUAGUAGCUGGUUCCUUC
rnacentral:rRNA from 1 species